UGAGGGCCCCCGCCUUGCUGUCUAUAUUUGGCUUAUACGAUUUUCAACUUCAGGCAGAGGAUGUGGCUCAGUGGUUAAGAACACUCGCUGUGCAAACAUGAGGACUGGGAUUCGAAUCUCCAACAGCCCUAUACAACGCACUGGUGUAGCUGUCUUCGUUUAUAGCUCCAGGGUUGUCUGAAGGUGGAAAUGGGUGAAUCGCCAGGGCUGGCUGACUGCUGGCUCGUUCCACAACAUGAACCAGCUAACUGGAGGAGGUGUCUACUGUGAUGUUCUGAGAAAGAUGAGCAGCAUUUGGGCUCAGGAGAAGAAGAUCCUCUGGGAAUGGAAAGGGCAGGACAGAGUGUGGGAGGAGAGACAAAGGAACUGCACCAGCAUGUCACCUCAUUAUCUGAGAAGGGGAGUCCUGAGCCACCCAGUGGAACAGAAUUAAAACCCACCAGACUUGACUUCUAUAUGCUCUUCCAAUUACAAAGACUCAUUAAUAACAGGGAUUUUCCAGGGGGAAAUGAAGCAUCACUGUUCGCUGUUGUUGUCAUUUGAUGAAAAGACAUUUAUUGAGCAUGCCUUAUGUUUUCCUUCAGAGUUUAAUUGUCCGAGAAUUUCACACAUACAUGUAGUAUAUUUUGAUCAAUGCCACCCCCAUUCUCUCCUGACCAUUUCCUCCCCAACCUAACCCAAUAAUAUUUUGCCUCCCAACUUUGUGUGUUCUUUUCAAAAAGUCCACUGUGUUCGCUUAGUGCUGUCUAUAUGUCUGAGUUUGUCUUUUAUUUUUAAAUAUUUCCUGGGUCCAGCAUAAAGGGACAUCUGUGGGCUCAAGGAUAAGAACAAAACCACAUGUGAGUUCCUUUGGAAAUUUUUGCAGUCAGGACAUGUCUCCUAUGAUUCAGCAGAAGUGAUUAUUUUGGGAGCAACAAAAGAUAUUCCUUUUUUAAAAGUACAAACUUAUGUAACACUGCCAAAAAAAACUAAAAUAGAUUUUAAAGCUAUUGACUUUUGUUCAUAAUUUCUGGCUGCUGUUCUCAAUGUGAAGACAUUUGAUUUACUUAUAGUGUCGCAUUUAUUUUUCCUGACAAGUAUUUUAUAUUCAUAUCUUUAUGUAUCUCUUGGGCCUUUGUGGUUCUGUCAUUUGAGGCUAUCUAUUGCAUAGUUUUGAUGUCUAUGACUGACUUUAUUUCUCUGAUUUGGGGGAUUUCCUUCCAACUUGCCACCAUUACAGAUGAUUUUGUCCUUAUCAUUUGGUGUCUGUCCUCACAGGUGCCUUUCCCAACCCGAAAAUCUUAGCUCCUAAAGUAGUUCCUUUCCCUUCCCAUCCCCUAGAAUGUGAUCCAGUAGCUUCCUCAUCUGGCUGGAUCUACUCUCCAUCUUCACUAGGGCUGAGGAACUUCUGUUCACAAUUACUAAGUGAGGGUUCUAGCCUUAUCACGUAGAUUGUUCCAGCGAAAUGUAAUGCAUUGUUGUAGUGCCCGUGAUCAUGGCCUUAAGUAUUCUUGAAUUCACAGGCUUCAUCUUAUCCAUGCUGAUCCAAUAGGCAAUGUAAGAGUGUCUCUGAUUGCAAACAUUCCAAAGUCAUUUGCACAAUGACUGAGUGACUUCAACAAGUCAUUUUUUUUAAGGGUGGCCAUCAAAUCAUUUAACAUCCAAAUCUUUUGAGGGUCAAAGAGGAAUU